GACGAACGCUGGCGGCGUGCUUAACACAUGCAAGUCGAACGGAAAGGCCCUGCUUUUGUGGGGUGCUCGAGUGGCGAACGGGUGAGUAACACGUGAGUAACCUGCCCUUGACUUUGGGAUAACUUCAGGAAACUGGGGCUAAUACCGUAUAGGAGCUCCUGCUGCAUGGUGGGGGUUGGAAAGUUUCGGCGGUUGGGGAUGGACUCGCGGCUUAUCAGCUUGUUGGUGGGGUAGUGGCUUACCAAGGCUUUGACGGGUAGCCGGCCUGAGAGGGUGACCGGCAACAUUGGGACUGAGAUACGGCACAGACUCCAACGGGAGGCAGCAGUGGGGAAUAUUGCACAAUGGGAGGAAGCAUGAUGCAGCAACGCAGCGUGCGGGAUGACGGCCUUCGGGUUGUAAACAGCUUUCGAAUGUGACGAAGAGUGAGUGACGGUAAUGGGUAAAGAAGCACCGGCUAACUACGUG
rnacentral:rRNA from 1 species